rnacentral:rRNA from 1 species
AGUGAACACUGGCGGUAGGCCUAACACAUGCAAGUCGAACGGCAGCACAGGAGAGCUUGCUCUCUGGGUGGCGAGUGGCGGACGGGUGAGGAAUACAUCGGAAUCUACUCUGUCGUGGGGGAUAACGUAGGGAAACUUACGCUAAUACCGCAUACGACCUACGGGUGAAAGCAGGGGACCUUCGGGCCUUGCGCGAUUGAAUGAGCCGAUGUCGGAUUAGCUAGUUGGCGGGGUAAAGGCCCACCAAGGCGACGAUCCGUAGCUAGUCUGAGAGGGUGAUCAGCCACACUGGAACUGAGACACGGUCCAGACUCCUACGGGAGACAGCAGUGGGGAAUAUUGGACAAUGGGCGCAAGCCUGAUCCAGCCAUACCGCGUGGGUGAAGAAGGCGUUCGGGUUGUAAAGCCCUUUUGUUGGGAAAGAAAUCCAGCUGGCUAAUACCCGGUUGGGAUGACGGUACCCAAAGAAUAAGCACCGGCUAACUUCGUGCCAGCCGCCGCCGUAA